rnacentral:tRNA from 1 species
GACACCGUGGCCCAGUGGUUACGGCGUUGGACGCAGAAUCCAUUGAGCUUGCUCGCGCGGGUUCGAAUCCCGUCGG